UGGGGGGAAAAAAAAGGAUGUGUUUCUCUGAAAUUUUUCUGUUGACAUUUUUUUUCAGGACUUGUCUGAUGUUCAGAUAUUUGUGUCUGUCGGGGUCCGCUCUUAUGGUUUCUCGCCUGGAGGGGUUGUGCAGCCUGAGCCUGGACUGUCUGGACAAGAUGAGCAUGUCGAGCCGCCUCAGCCUCAACAGCCUGGGCCGGAUCUGCGGAACCGGCUCCGGCGACGACGUGGUGGUCCUGGACCGGGUCAAGAGGAAGAACUCGGUCAGGCGCAUGUCCAUCAUCGAGGAUGGCCAGAUAGCCGAGGUUCUGUACUUGAUCCCCAAGCAGUGCGUGGUGGACCAGCUGCCUUUCCUCAACCCCAGCGACUACGUCCUGUGUGAGAAGCUGGCGGCCAUACCUGCGGAUGUGUCAGUGCUUCACACUCACCCUCCCGCGGCCAAGCGGGUCACCCGGUGCGUCAAGUGCGGCGAGGUCUGCAGAGGGGAGGUGCUGCGAGUCCAGUCCAAUCACUUCCACAUCAAAUGCUUCACCUGCAAGGUGUGCGGCUGCGACUUGGCGCGCUCCGGCUUCUUCAUCAAGACCGGAGAAUGUUUGUGUCCGCUGGACUACCAGAGGCUUCACGGCACCGUCUGCAACAGCUGCGGAGGAUUUGUGGAGGGCGACGUGGUCGCCGUCUUGGGAAAGACUUACCACCCGACCUGCUUCGUGUGCACCAUUUGCAAGCAACCUUUUCCUGCUGGUGAUUGCGUCACCUUCAGCGGGAAAGAGUGCAUCUGUCAGCGGUGCGUUAGCCCCCUGACUCCCCCGCCCACUGGCAUCAGAUACUCCAACAACUGCAACGGCUGCGGUCGCGACAUCAAGAACGGUCAGGCUUUGUUGGCCUUGGGCAGCCAGUGGCACCUCGGCUGCUUCAAGUGCAACAUCUGCAGGAAAUUGCUGAGCGGCGAAUACAUCAGCAAGGAUGGGAUUCCAUAUUGUGAGAGGGACUACCAGCUCCAGUUUGGGGUGCAGUGUGACGCAUGUCAGAAGUUCAUAACGGGCAAAGUCCUUGAGGCCGGGGACAAACACUAUCACCCGGAAUGCGCAAGGUGCAGCCGCUGUGACAAAACGUUCACAGAGGGCGAAGAAAUGUAUCUGCAAGGAUCGGCCGUGUGGCACCCGCACUGCAGAGAAAGCGCCGGAAACCAUGAAAGCAACAGGUCGACUUUAACUUCUUCCGAGAGCUCCUGCUCCAGACCGGGCUCAUGCACACCCGGAAGUCCCGGCCGCUCCAUCUGCGCUAAAGUAGACGAUGAGAUCAUUGAUUACCGAGACUUAGCAGCGAUUCCCAGAGUCAAGGCCAUUUAUGACAUAGAGCACCCCGAUAUGAUGUCCUAUAAAAGUGACGGCAUCGCCUCGGUUGCUUUGGACAGCGGAGGCGACACGCGGGACAGAAAAAGCUCUGCAGAGUCUCUGGCAAACGUCUCGGAGACCACAGAGGAGAGCUACGAGUUGAGGAAAUGCGUUCCCAAAUCGGCGAGCCACGGAUCCUUCGGCGUUCAGACGUACGGCCGCCACAGCUACACGCCGACUCGCUCGCCGCAACACUUCCACCGGCCCGAUCAAGGUUUCAACAUGUACAGAAGGCCUCCAAUUUUCAAGCAGCAAGACAUAGAGCCAAACUCCAGCCAAACUUCCUCUUUGCCUGGAUACGCUUCCAACGGCCUGAGUCCGGUAAGUGGAUUUUCGGACGCUAUGCUACUCCAUACCAUCCAUGUGGGAGGAGCCUGGAAGCACCUACAACUGACAGGCGACCAGUUCAGAGCGUGGUCCGCCUUUCGCCCGAACCUAGCUGGGAUAGGCUUCAGCUUUCCUGCAACCCUUGUGAGGAUAAGCGGCUUGGAUAAUGACAUGAAUAUACUAUAUUAUACUACUUUGCAUUCCGUUCAGGCUGUGGGCUUUCACUACAUAUUUGAUGGCAGGGGUUGUCAAACGUUUCGGGUACGGGACAGACGUUUUUUUUUCCCCAAGUACCCCCUCAAAAUGGUAAUGCCACCACAUGUAUCCCAAAAUGUCAUGUUAGUUAAAAAGUUGCCUGCUUUGUAGGAGGGGGGGGGGAGGAGGCAAAAUGUUCCAUUAACAAUACCCUAACCUAUGGCGUAAUAUUUUUGUGAGGUUAUGAUUGGGCGGACCCCCAAGCUUACGGCCCAUGGACCCCCACUGGGCCCGGGGACCCCACCUUUAGAACCACUGGCUCAUAUGAAGUUUUGUCUUCCAUUCAGCCACAGUCGAGCGAUUUCCUCCGGAGCAGCGGCGACACGUUAAGAGAUUUGAAGGUAUGUGUGAGGAUUUUGCAGAGUCGAGUCCACGGCGCCUCCUUGUCUCCUCUUUGAAGCAUCCGUGCAACUUCGCAGGGCA